rnacentral:rRNA from 1 species
UACGGGGGGGGCAAGCGUUGUUCGGAAUUACUGGGCGUAAAGGGGACGUAGGCGGCCAACUAAGUCCGACGUGAAAUCCCAAGGCUUAACCUUGGAACUGCGUCGGAUACUGGAUGGCUUGAAUUCGGGAGAGGGAUGCAGAAUUCCAGGUGUAGCGGUGAAAUGCGUAGAUAUCUGGAGGAAUACCGGUGGCGAAGGCGGCAUCCUGGACCGACAUUGACGCUGAAAGCCGAAAGCUAGGGGGGCAAACGGG